GUGCUAAGAGAGGGAUUGAACUUGUUGCGAGUCGAUAGACCAAUACCAUACAUAGUAUCACUAACCACUACAGCACAACAAUUUUGUUGAAACGUUUGGAGAACAAGUGUUUAUAUUUAAAAAAAGUUUUGUUAAUUUUCAUUUCCUCUCAUUUCACUCUUUCCUUUUUCUUCGUGACUUGUUUUCCUCUAUAUUUUUCCAUCUUUAAUUCACUUUCCCUCCUUUUCAUUUCACAAACCCUAAUCUCUCUCCUCAUAAUCUCUCUCAUUUUCCCUAAUGUGAAUCGGUUUUAUCUGUGAAUUGAGUUGAACGAAAAUUCCUAAUUUAUGAAUCAAAGCUAAUCGAGAAUCAAUUGAAGACUUUUCAUUUCAAGCCCUUUCCAUGGAGUUCAGGGAUUUCUGAUUUAUUAAAGGUUUUCAAGAACGCUCAGCUUACUUAGUGCAGGCAGGAAGGAGCUGUGAAAUGCAAGUUAAUUAUUUUUUCCAAACAAACUCAUCCAAAGGUUUUUCUAUGUCUUCUUCUGUAAAAUCUUGGUCUGGGAAACUAUGUGGGUGUGAUGGUCGUAUGGUUUCGUACCAAUGCAAGAAGGGGAAAAAUAAAGGAAGACUAUUUUGGAGAUGUCCAUUUUGGAGGAGUGAUGAGACAUGUAAUUUGUUUAUAUGGGAUGAAGACAUGAGAUCAAAAGGUGGGAAUGAAGAUGGGAGCAUUAUGAAGUCAGAGUUGGAAGCUAUGGAAGUUAUGGGUUAUUUGAAGGUUAUGUAUGAAGAUUUAAAGAAGAACAAGAAUUUGAAGAAUAAACUAAAAUCAGAGAAAUUUUCCUGGAAAUUUGAAGAUGUUAUGUUUUAUUAUCUCUUUAAUGUUUAAUGUUUACUUUGUUAUGAAAUGUAAUAAUUGAAGGAGGGUUUGAAUUGCAUUAUUGAUGUUAUGUUGAAACUGCAGCAGCAGUAAUAUCUAUGUAUUGACCUUGUUUGUCAAUGAAAUGUUGGUUUUGGUUAAACAAUUGUUAUGGUUAGAAACAAGCAUUGACAUCAGCGACACAAUUUGGCAAUAACAAGCAAUUACAAGUUAUCUACCAGCUAAUGCAACAACUGUCGGGACUCGGGAGGAUUCAUGGUUCAGUUUUGGUUCAAGAAUUGUGGUUGAUUUAACAUUUCAGUUCGUUAACUAUUGUAAUAAAUUAUGUUAUUUUUGGUUUCACAGUUUUGUAUCAAGUGCGUUGAUAGAAGGACAUGGCCUGCUCCCAUCACAUGUUCCAUUUUCUUCUCAUUGUUUAUUUGAAUUGUUAUGUUUUAAUAGUACUAUAUGAUAUGAAAAAUGCAUAUUGAUAUGUUUUUAGUUUUCACAGUUUUGAAAAAUGGUUCAACCACUACUAGCACACUAAGUUGUGUAUAGUUUUUAAUUUCACUUCAAUUCACUAACUUGAGUGCAUGAUUUAGGUUUUGUUAGAGUUGUGAGUUGCUUAAAUUGCGAUGAGCUAUCAUGCUGGAAGAUGGUUCCGAAAUCAAUACCGUAUAAUAUCAAAAUUAGGUGGUUAAACUUGUUGCUUCUUCUUUUCUAAACAUUCAAUCUAGCAUGUAUGUGUCAUAAAACUGAUGGACUUUACAAUACUAAGCAGACUGCUAUUGUUAGAGCUUCCGAUGAUUUUAACCUGUGUAAUCCUACUUCUCACAUGAUCCAUAUUUCUUUUGUUGCAUUGCAGCCAGAUUGGGACAUGUUCAUGUAAGUGAAAGUGAAUUGAUAUUAAUAUUAUCAAUUUAUGUGUUCAUGACAUUAAAUUUCUACCAUUAAUAUUAUCACUAUGUGUAUUCAUGACUUCUAUUACUAUUUGUAUGUGAGUGGUAAAUUAUCAUCCUAUUAUUAAAUC